CCCUUAGAUGUUCUGGGCCGCACACGCGCUACACUGAAGGAGGCAGCGUGUACUCCUGGAUCGAAAGAUUUGGGUAACCCGCGAAUCUCCUUCGUGCUAGGGAUUGAGGUUUGCAAUUAUCCUUCAUGAACGAGGAAUUCCCAGUAAGUGCAAGUCAUAAGCUUGCGCUGACUACGUCCCUGCCCUUUGUACACACCGCCCGUCGCUACUACCGAUUGAAUGAUUUAGUGAGGACUUCGGGCUGGGACCGAUGCGGCUUUCGGGCUGCGUCGGUAUUCUGGAAAGAUGUCCAAACUGUAUCAUUUAGAGGAAGUAAAAGUCGUANCA
rnacentral:rRNA from 1 species